AGCCGCGUAGCUCAGUUGGCAGAGCAUUGGGCUAGUAUUCCAAAGGUCGUAGGUUCGAUUCCCACCGUGGCCA
rnacentral:tRNA from 1 species